rnacentral:pre_miRNA from 1 species
CGUGCACCAGUGGGGUCCCUUGGCCUGGCCUGCGCCUUCUCGCAAUCUGGGACCCCUCAGGGAUGUGGGAGAGCCAGUUUCGGUCCAAUCCCUGCAGGCCAGGCCAAGGGACCCCACUGGUACACA